rnacentral:tRNA from 1 species
UAGCUCAGUGGUAGAGCUCCAGCUUCAUGCGCGGGGAGACCUGGGUUCCAUUCCCGG